UCUGACAAGUUAACAAGUAUUUUAAAUACAUACAUGCAAAAUAAUCUCCAUUAAGAGACAUGUUUUUAAAUAGUUGUGUUCUUUUGAAGGAAUCAGAAAUGACAUUUUGCUUUCCUUCCAAUUGUUUGUUUGAAAGUAAAAGUAUUUUUUUCAGGUAUUACAAGGUGAAUUUUAUUUGAAAUGUUGGUAGCUGCAAUAAUCAUUUAAAAAUACUUCUGUUUUCUUCUUGGCAUUUUAACCUUUUUAUUAUUAUUUGUUUUAUUUUUUAUUGUUUAAUUUUAAGUUGUCAGUUUUUAUGACCUUAUGAUGUGCUGUAAGAAAAAGGGUGAUUCCUAAGAACAAAGGAAUUGGAGAACACAAUAUACUGCAAAUUUUAAAUGCACAAUCUGCAGUAAUGAAGUAGAAAUCUGCUGAAGUAGAAAUCAGCUGCUUUUUACUCAUAAUAAUCCAAAUAUCUAGGGUGACUUAAAACUCAGAGUGUCCUGAAUACUGGGAAGAUUACUAGAUAUAAUUAUCUCACUCUUAUGUAACACAAAAUAAAAGUUUCAGGCAAGUACUGAGCUUUUCCUUCUGCCUACAUAUUGAAAUAUUUCUCUUUGCAUAUUCCUCUCAGCAUAAACCAUUAGAAAUCGAAUAUCGUCUUAGAGCAUUUCAGAAUAUCCGACGUGUUGUAUGAGCACAUAUUUAUAGUUCUCCUCACUCAGACUGGGAGGGGAGGAGAGCGGGGCAGGGGGAGGAAUAUUGCAGCGCCGUGACGCUGAUCACUAGAGGCAAGUGUCACAGGGCCUGCCAUGCGGGGCCUACUCUCGCCAGAAGGCUAGUCAGGGCGCUGGGCCGGGGGUGGCCUCCACGUCUCCAUGGGGGCCCAUCUCCCUGAACCUCCUGCAAGGCUUUGUUCCUUGUGUCCGCAGGAUAUGUCAUUUUUGCAUCCUGGGAAUGAAGUCACUUCUCUGGAUUUGUGGCGCCGUCAGGACACAGAGCAGCAGCUUUUCCAGGCAAUAGCUAAUAAUAACACCUAGCUUCUCCCCAGCUCUCAAUCAUGAGUUGUGGCCAGUGCUGUGUAAAUCAGGAAAUAGAUGGCUCCUAUCACUCAGAGGAAAUAACUGAGGGCUGAGCAAGCUGAAGCCCACACUGCGAAACACUGUUCUUGGACAAGCUGUUUCAGGAAGUCCUAUGUGACAAAGCUUCCAAGGAAAGAACAGCAUUCAGAAGAGGACACUCAGAUUUCAUUUGUUUGAGUUUGUCAAGGCUGAGGACAACCACUAAGGAGCAAGCUCAGAAGGAUUUGUCCAGGAUGACACAGUCAGAACAGUCCCAUCCUUCCCAGCGCUAAUACCAAACCAGUGCUUAAUAACAAAACAGUGUCUAAUAAAAAAAACUUGGAACAUUUCUUUCCA
rnacentral:lncRNA from 1 species